UACAGAGGUCCCAAGCGUUGUUCGGAUUCACUGGGCGUAAAGGGUGCGUAGGUGGUCGGGUAAGUCUGAUGUGAAAUCUCCGAGCUCAACUCGGAAAUGGCAUUGGAUACUACUUGGCUAGAGGGUUGGAGGGGGGACUGGAAUACUUGGUGUAGCAGUGAAAUGCGUAGAUAUCAAGUGGAACACCAGUGGCGAAGGCGAGUCCCUGGACAACUCCUGACACUGAGGCGCGAAAGCUAGGGGAGCAAACGGG
rnacentral:rRNA from 1 species